AGUGGCGCACGGGUGAGUAACGCGUAGAUAAUCUGCCUGAUGAUCUGGGAUAACACUUCGAAAGAGGUGCUAAUACCGAAUAGCCCACGGGUCUUUGGAUUUGCGGGAAAGGGGGGACUUCGGGCCUUCUGUCAUCAGAUGAGUCUGCGUACCAUUAGCUAGUUGGUAGGGUAAUGGCCUACCAAGGCUACGAUGGUUAGCUGGUCUGAGAGGAUGAUCAGCCACACUGGAAAUGAGACACGGUCCAGACUCCUACGGGAGGCAGCAGUGGGGAAUUUUGCGCAAUGGGCGAAAGCCUGACGCAGCAACGCCGCGUGAGUGAUGAAGGCUUUCGGGUCGUAAAGCUCUGUCGAGGGGAAAGAAGUGUACUUUGGCUAAUAUCCAUUGUACUUGACGGUACCCCUAAAGGAAGCACCGGCUAACUCCGUGCCAGCAGCCGCGGUAAUACGGGGGGUGCAAGCGUUGUUCGGAAUUAUUGGGCGUAAAGCGCGUGUAGGCGGUUUGAUAAGUCUGAUGUGAAAGCCCUGGGCUCAACCCAGGAAGUGCAUUGGAAACUGUCAGACUUGAAUACGGGAGAGGGUAGUGGAAUUCCUAGUGUAGGAGUGAAAUCCGUAGAUAUUAGGAGGAACACCGGUGGCGAAGGCGGCUACCUGGACCGAUAUUGACGCUGAGACGCGAAAGCGUGGGUAGCAAACAGGAUUAGAUACCCUGGUAGUCCACCCCGUAAACGCUCACACUAGCUGUUGC
rnacentral:rRNA from 1 species